rnacentral:rRNA from 1 species
UGGGGAAUAUUGGACAAUGGGCGAAAGCCUGAUCCAGCCAUGCCGCGUGUGUGAAGAAGGUCUUCGGAUUGUAAAGCACUAUAAGUUGGGAGGAAGGGCAGUAAGCGAAUACCUUGCUGUUUUGACGUUACCGACAGAAUAAGCACCGGCUAACUCUGUGCCAGCAGCCGCGGUAAUACAGAGGGUGCAAGCGUUAAUCGGAAUUACUGGGCGUAAAGCGCGCGUAGGUGGUUCGUUAAGUUGAAUGUGAAAGCCCCGGGCUCAACCUGGGAACUGCAUCCAAAACUGGCGAGCUAGAGUAGGGCAGAGGGUGGUGGAAUUUCCUGUGUAGCGGAGAAAUGCGUAGAUAUAGGAAGGAACACCAGUGGCGAAGGCGACCACCUGGGCUCAUACUGACACUGAGGUGCGAAAGCGUGGGGAGCAAACAGG